UACGUAGGGUGCAAGCGUUAAUCGGAAUUACUGGGCGUAAAGCGUGCGCAGGCGGUUUUGUAAGCCAGAUGUGAAAUCCCCGGGCUUAACCUGGGAAUGGCAUUUGGGACUGCAAGGCUUGAGUGCGGCAGAGGAGACUGGAAUUCCUGGUGUAGCAGUGAAAUGCGCAGAUAUCGGGAGGAACACCAGUAGCGAAGGCGGCACUCUGGGCCGGUACUGACGCUGAGGAGCGAAAGCGUGGGGAGCAAACAGG
rnacentral:rRNA from 1 species